rnacentral:rRNA from 1 species
CCUACGUGAGGCAGCAGUGAGGAAUAUUGGUCAAUGGACGAGAGUCUGAACCAGCCAAGUAGCGUGAAGGAUGACUGCCCUAUGGGUUGUAAACUUCUUUUAUAUGGGAAUAAAACGUUCCACGUGUGGGAUUUUGUAUGUACCAUAUGAAUAAGGAUCGGCUAACUCCGUUCCAGCAGCCGCGGUAAUCCGGAGGAUCCGAGCGUUAUCCGGAUUUAUUGGGUUUAAAGGGAGCGUAGGUUGAUUGUUAAGUCAGUUGUGAACGGUUGCGGCUCAACCGUAAAAUUGCAGUUGAAACUGGCAGUCUUGAGUACAGUAGAGGUGGGCGGAAUUCGUGGUGUAGCGGUGAAAUGCUUAGAUAUCACGAAGAACUCCGAUUGCGAAGGCAGUUCACUGGACUGCAACUGACACUGAGGCUCGAAAGUGUGGGUAUCAAACAGGAGUAGAUACCCCAGUAGUC